AUGGCCUGGGCCCCUCUCCUCCUCACCCUCCUGGCUCACUGCACAGGAUCCUGGGCCCAGCCUGUGCUGACUCAGCCGUCCUCAGUGUCUCGGGCCCUGGGCCAGAGGGUCACCAUCUCCUGCACUGGAACCUGCUCCAAAAUUGGUUACAACAAUGUGCACUGGUACCAGCAGCUCCCUGGAAGGGAACCCAAACUCCUCAUCUAUGAUAACCGCAAACGACCCUCUGGGGUCCCUGACCGAUUCUCUGGCUCCACGUCUGGCAACUCAGCCUCCCUGACCAUCUCGGGGCUGCAGCCUGAGGACGAGGCCGACUAUUACUGUCGCACAAGGGACAAAGGCUGUAACUGUUACACAGUGGUCCAGACCCACAGGGAAGGAACAUUCCUCAGGGAUAACGGUUCCCAUGGAGACAUGUGA